GUUGAUGGGGACAGAAUAAUCACUCAACACCAGAUGCAAUGCAACAAAGUAAUUAAUGCUCAGAACUCAGAGCUGGGUAUGAAUCAAGGAUCCUUUACUUAGUAGUUAACUAGAAGACUGGGACUAGUUAAUUUCUCCAGUGCUCAGCUUCUUAUCUACAGGUAUCUGCUGAAUCCUCCAAGGGGAACAGAAUAAGGGGAAGAUCCCUGGAGAUCAGAUUCUCAGAUCCAGUAUCCCGUGUGCUGACCUGCCAUGACAAACACUGGCAGGGAGCCUGCCAUAGAGGAAAAGAGUAAGAAUUGGCUGAGUUCACAUAUGGGCUCCAUCAAUAACUAGCGGCCAGGUGAGAUUAGCUGCCCAGGUGAUGCAAAUCCUGCUGGUUCAUAACCACACUGAAUAGAAUCUAAGUACACUUCCUGAAGAAAAACAGUAUCAUAGGAACCAUUUCAAGUAUCAUCACUGUGCCAUCUUUGGGAAGAAUGAGAAAAUAGCCACUGCAAUAAUUUUCUGGAGGGCUAUUUUUUCCUAUGGGACACUGAUGGAGGAAGACCACAGCCCAUUGACUAGAAAAAGGCCUGGAAUGGAGUUCACGCCCUCAGAGCUCGUGCAGGAGCCAUCUAUGAACUACAAGCACAUUGACUCCGUAUCCUCACAUGAGCCCUGGGAGGCAGCCACUGUUAAUAUCCUCAUUUUAUGGAUGAGGAAACUGUUGCCCUGUUAAAGCUUAAUCAGCUUUAUUAUUUGCUUCCCAUCACUGCUGUCACAACUUGCCACAAACUCACUGAUGUCACACAACACAAAGUUAUUAUCUUAUGGUUUGGGAGGUCAGAUGUCCAAAGUUGGUCUCCUUGGGCUAAAAUCAAGGUGUCAGUGAGGUUGGUUCCUUCUGAAAUUCUGAGGGGAGAAUUUGUUUCCUUGCCUUUUUAUUUUGUUUUUGUUUUUGAGACAGAGUCUCACUCUGUCACCCAGGCUGGGGUGCAGUGGCGCCAUCUUGGCUCACUGUAACCUCCACCUCCUGGGUUCAAGAGAUUGUCAUGCCUCAGCCUCCCAAGUAGCUGGGAUUACAGGUGCAUGCCACCACACCCAGCUAAUUUUUAUAUUUUUAGUAUAGACAGGGUUUCACCAUGUUGGCCAGGCUCGACUCAAACUCCUGAUCUCAGGUGACCCCCAACCUCAGCCUCCAAAGUGCUGGGAUUACAAGCCUGAGCCACUGUGCCUGGCCUUCCUUGCCUUUUUCAGCUCCUAGAGGCCACCCGAAUCGUUUAGCUAAUAAUCCCUUCCUUGAUGAUACACUCCAACUUCUUGUUUUUCUUUAUUUCUAAAAAGCGGUUCUGUAACUCUCAAUCCAGAGAUGUUAAAAAUGUUUCUAGGCACGGUAUUAGUAAAUCAAGUAAAUUUCAUGUCCUCUUAAAGGACAAACUUCCAGAGAUUUGAAUAUAAAUUUUUAUAUGUGUUAUUGAUUGUCGUGUAACAAAUGGCCCCCACAAAUUAGUAGCUUAAAAUAGCAUUUAUGAUGUCACUGUUUUCUUUGCCUUUUCAUUAAUGUUCUGUACAGACCUAUGUAAACAACUUUUGUAUAUGCAUAUAGGAUAGCUUUUUUGAGGGUAUACAGCUGUAUACAAAAGCAGCUGAUAUUAGUUAAGCUUGUGUCAACUACUUUUUUUGACUUGUACAUUUGGUACUUUUUCUGGAGGGUGUUGAUUAAAGUUGUAUGUGCUUAGUAUAUGAGAAAAAAACUGCUUCUGGCUCUGGGCCUCUCACAAGGUGGCAAUAAAGGUGUUGGCAAGGGCUUUAGUCAUCUCAAGGCUUAACUGGAGCCCUUGUGUACAUGAAUGUGCAGAGUGUGACUCAGUUUCCAAGCUCACUCAUGUGGCUCUUGGCAGAAGACAUAAGUUCUUUGUGACAUGGGCCUCUCUGUAGGACAGCUUACAGUGUGACACCUGGCUUUUUUCAGAGUAACUGAGCAAAAAGCCAGAGAGGCAGAGCCCCCAAGAUUGAAGCCACGGACUUUUUUUUGAGACAGAAUUUUGCUCUUAUAGCCCAGGCUUGAGUGCAGUGGCGUGGUCUCAGCUCACUGCAACCUCCACCUCCUGGGUGCAAGCAAUUCUCCUGCCUCAGCCUCCCGAGUAGCUGCCACAGACUUUUUAUGACCUAAUCUUGGAUGUACUAUCCCAUUUCUUCUCCAUGUUCUUCACAUAAGAAUGUCAGUCCAGCCCACAUGCAAGAAGAGGGGAUUUCAAGGGCAUGAAUACCAGGGGGUAGGGUCACUGGAGGCCACAUUGGAGGCUGUCAUUUAUACCCUUUGAGAAUUAAGUCAGGGAUGUCCUUAAUGAACAUGCAGCAUUGCUAAGAUUCCAGACUAAAUGGCUCAAAUACAUAUUGGAUUAUUCUUCUGAGCUUACUGUUUAUUUAGCCAAAAGUUAUUAAGAAUAAAGUAUACUGGGGGGAAGAAAAGGAAGGAAGGAAAUUAUCUUUAAUUCUCCCACACUAACAUACAUCUUAAUUUUUGUCUUUAGUUCUUAUUCAAAUAUAUAAAUAUUUUUACAUGAUUAUAAUUUUUUAUAGUCUUUGGUGCCCAUUUUUUAACACUUGGCAUCAUAUUACAAAGCAUCAACCACAUUUCCAGACAAUCCUCAUGAUCAUUUUAUUUUAUUUUUAUUGGGAUGGAGUCUCACUCUGUCACCCAGGCUGGAGUGCAAUCUCAUUGCAACCUCCGCCUCCUGGAUUCAAAUGAUUCUCCUGCCUCAGCCUCAUAAGUAGCUGGGAUUACAGGAAUGCACUACCAGCAUGGCUGGCUAAUUUUUGUAUUUUUUUAGUAGAGAUGGGGUUUCGCCAUGUUGGCCAAGCUGGUCUGGAGCUCCUGACCUUAAGUGAUCUGCCUGUCCUCAGCCUCCCAAAGUGCUGGGAUUACAGGCUUGAGCCACCAUGCCCAGCAGCACCAUCAUUUUAACAUACUAGAGAUCUUCAUUAUCGUAAAAUUACUUGUUCUCUUAAAGUAAGGCCUUACACCCUACUAAAAUGUGAUCAAAAUUUUAUUAUGAAUAGAUGAAAAGCUGUAGCUAUAAAUUAUGAGAGUAAGUUUAUUUUAUAUUUAUCCAAAUGUAGUUCAUAAUAGCAACUUCACUAAAUCUUAGAAUAAAAAAUGAAUAAAAUGUUAAUUUUUUGGAGGAAAUGGUUAAUUUUUUCUACAAAAUUGUGUGACAGCUUUACAGACCUUACUCUUCACAAUUGACUUGAACAUUAACAUCACAAAGAGGGUCCUGUUGACAAAAGAAUAGUCAAGAACUUCAUGAAUUUUUGACAGUGACUCUUUUCUAACCCUUUAAUCCAAAUAUAUUUAAGUGUCCAUCGUCGUCCUUUAUCCAACUCAUUUGUUAACUAGUUUUCUUCUGUGAGUUCCUUUGCCUAUAAUUGAAGCAGUUCUCUGAAAUCACCCAAACUGAUUUUAUGAAAGCCCAUGCUUUUGGAAAGAUUUGCACUUCGGCUUUGCAAUCUAUUUACAUUGACUGUACUUGCAUUGUAUUGCUAGAUGUUGACUAUCAGUUAGGACAAUCAAAAAUAUAUUGAUAAUGGGCAGGGAUAAAUCAGAAGUUACUGUCAAUAACAAAGUUAUGUUUUAUGGGUAUUUUAUAGGUGAUAAAUUCAUUACUGAGCAAUUUCAUAUCAUGUUUUAAUUCUCCUGGUUGUAAUAUGGUGACUCUGGAGACUCAAAUAUUAAAUAUUGGUGUAAAGACAA